AUGGCCAAGUCCAAGACCCACACCACACACUACCAGUCCCACAAAUGACACAGAAACGGCAUCAAGAAAACCUGGUUACAAAGAUACGAAUCUCUUAAGGGGGUUGACCCCAAAUUACUGAGGAACAUGUGCUUUGCCAACAAGAAAGGCCUGAAGAAGAUGCAGGCCAGCAAUGCAAAGUUAGGUGAACACACAGAGGCCAUCAAGGCCCUUAUGAAGCCUCAGGCCAUCAAUCCCAAGAUGCCAAAGGGUCCCAGCCUCAAACUCAGCCGCCUGGCUUUCAUCAUUCAACCCAUGCUUGGGAAGUGAAUUCAAAGCUACAUGGCCAAGGAGGGUGGGCUCUACCAAGCAAAGCCCAAGGUUCAAACCAAGGCAGUGGCCAAAGUUCCAGCUAAGGCCCAGGCCUCAGCUCCAGCUCAGGCUCCCAGGCCCUGUGAAGCUCUCAUAAGA
rnacentral:lncRNA from 1 species